UGAAGUAUACGGUUUCAGAAAGUGGUCAAGAUGUUUCUUUGGAAAUUCGAAAGCUAAUCCUAGAAUUAUAUCUAUGAUCAUCAUCAUAUCAUCCUUACUAUGGAACAAGAGAACAACGCAAUAUAGUAGCUUUUGUAGUCACCAAUUAGAAAACUAGCUCAGCAGCAUUGUGCUAAAACGUGUAAACAAACAACAAGGGACUAGACUUCGCCAACCUUCCCUCCGAUAAGCUUUGUCGUUUUGAGAGAACGUCUUAUUCAGCGAUAAAUCAAAGUUUAAUAUUUCCGGGGACGACGGCCCACCAAAGUCUGGAAUGGCUGUAGGGUGCUUGUCCGCAGCUGGAGCUGUGUGAAUGGUUUGUACCAAAUAAACAAUGAAGGCCUAAGGCGGUGAAAUUAAGUUACAUGGGGGCAGAGAAAAGAAAAUUAACAUUGCUCAGAUACUUGAAAACAUUUAAGCAAUUUUAUAAGUACAUAACUUAGACAUUGAACUACAUAUUCUAAGGUUUGCUAGGUAAACGAAAGUCAUUAUAUGUAUCUAGUAUAUGGAAGAGAGGGUAUUAUUAUGAAUAAAAAAAAAAUUCCCAAAUUUAAUUAA